UCUUUCUUUCCUCACUAUGGUUCCUGUUUGUUAUCUUCUGGGUGGAAACAAUAAGUGUUUGGCUCUUUCUGUCCAUGUUUUACCAGGAUCGGGAAUUUUAUCAAUGGGGAGAUGGUGUGUUUGCAGAUGAUCCUGGUCAAGUAAUAUUCAGGUUACGCAGAUUGGACGGCCCUACAGAGACUGAGGUUCAGACCUAAUAUGAUUAAAACAUGCGCAGUCGAACAGAUGAAGAUGAACAGAUGAAGAACGCCUGUUCUUCUUUUGUGAUGUGCGCAGCCCUUUCUUUACUAGGAAGUGAAGAGGUGCAGUUUUUGUGAAAGUGCAAUUAUGACUAGAAGGACUUUUCUCUGUGCUUUAUGCACCCAGCACUUCCACUGCUUCAGAUUUUUUUCUGUCUGAAUUUGGAGGAGCAAAAUGAAUAUAAAUGAAAAUCCUGACUUCGUUCUAAUGAGCUUAGUGCAUCCGUUUUUUAAUUUAAUUUCUU